GGGAGUGGCAGACGGGUGAGUAACACGUGGGAGCGUACCCUUUGGUUCGGGACAACUCUGGGAAACUGGAGCUAAUACCGGAUACGCCCUUUUGGGGAAAGGUUUACUGCCGAAGGAUCGGCCCGCGUCUGAUUAGCUAGUUGGUGGGGUAACGGCCUACCAAGGCGACGAUCAGUAGCUGGUCUGAGAGGAUGAUCAGCCACACUGGGACUGAGACACGGCCCAGACUCCUACGGGAGGCAGCAGUGGGGAAUAUUGGACAAUGGGCGCAAGCCUGAUCCAGCCAUGCCGCGUGAGUGAUGAAGGCCUUAGGGUUGUAAAGCUCUUUUAUCCGGGACGAUAAUGACGGUACCGGAGGAAUAAGCCCCGGCUAACUUCGUGCCAGCAGCCGCGGUAAUACGAAGGGGGCUAGCGUUGCUCGGAAUCACUGGGCGUAAAGGGCGCGUAGGCGGCGUUUUAAGUCGGGGGUGAAAGCCUGUGGCUCAACCACAGAAUGGCCUUCGAUACUGGGACGCUUGAGUCUGGUAGAGGUUGGUGGAACUGCGAGUGUAGAGGUGAAAUUCGUAGAUAUUCGCAAGAACACCGGUGGCGAAGGCGGCCAACUGGACCGGACUGACGCUGAGGCGCGAAAGCGUGGGGAGCAAACAGGAUUAAUACCCUGGUAGUCCACGCUGUAAACGAUGAAUGCUAGCUGUUGGGAUGCAUGCA
rnacentral:rRNA from 1 species